rnacentral:tRNA from 1 species
GCAGUGGUGGUUCAGCAGUAGAACUCUUGCCUUCCGCGUGGGUUACCCAGGUUCAAUUCCCAGCCAAUGUA